rnacentral:lncRNA from 1 species
GGCUAGCCCUGCUGGGCUUCCUGGUGCUAGUGCCAAUGACCAUGCCCUGGAGUCAGCUGGGCAAGGAUGGCUGGCUAGGAGGCACACAUUGUGUGGCCUGCCUGGCGCCCCCUGCAGCCUCUGUGCUCUAUCACCUCUUCAUGUGCCACCAGGGAGGCAGUCCUGUGUACACCCGGCUCCUUGCCCUGGAUAUGUGUGGAGUCUGUCUUGUCAACACCCUUGCCAUGGUCUGACUGACUGACCUGCCCAUCAGAGACUUGUCUGCUCAGGAAACCUCUACACAGUGGGUGGCUCCAGCCUGCUGGCCCAAGGGCACUCUAUAGCAGGGGAUCGACUCAGAGCCAGACAUCCCAAAGGCCUAAGACCCUAGGCAACAUCAAUAAAGGGACAAGAAGCACUCUGUUGCCAUAUGAGC